CUCAUACAUGCAAGUCGAACGAAACUUUCUUACACCGAAUGCUUGCAUUCACCGUAAGAAGUUGAGUGGCGGACGGGUGAGUAACACGUGGGUAACCUGCCUAAAAGAAGGGGAUAACACUUGGAAACAGGUGCUAAUACCGUAUAUCUCUAAGGAUCGCAUGAUCCUUAGAUGAAAGAUGGUUCUGCUAUCGCUUUUAGAUGGACCCGCGGCGUAUUAACUAGUUGGUGGGGUAACGGCCUACCAAGGUGAUGAUACGUAGCCGAACUGAGAGGUUGAUCGGCCACAUUGGGACUGAGACACGGCCCAAACUCCUACGGGAGGCAGCAGUAGGGAAUCUUCCACAAUGGACGCAAGUCUGAUGGAGCAACGCCGCGUGAGUGAAGAAGGUCUUCGGAUCGUAAAACUCUGUUGUUAGAGAAGAACACGAGUGAGAGUAACUGUUCAUUCGAUGACGGUAUCUAACCAGCAAGUCACGGCUAACUACGUGCCAGCAGCCGCGGUAAUACGUAGGUGGCAAGCGUUGUCCGGAUUUAUUGGGCGUAAAGGGAACGCAGGCGGUCUUUUAAGUCUGAUGUGAAAGCCUUCGGCUUAACCGGAGUAGUGCAUUGGAAACUGGAAGACUUGAGUGCAGAAGAGGAGAGUGGAACUCCAUGUGUAGCGGUGAAAUGCGUAGAUAUAUGGAAGAACACCAGUGGCGAAGCGGCUCUCUGGUCUGUAACUGACGCUGAGGUUCGAAAGCGUGGGUAGCAAACAGGAUUAGAUACCCUGGUAGUCCACGCCGUAAACGAUGAAUGCUAGGUGUUGGAGGGUUUCCGCCCUUCAGUGCCGCAGCUAACGCCAUAAGCAUUCCGCCUGGGGAGUACGACCGCAAGGUUGAAACUCAAAGGAAUUGACGGGGGCCCGCACAAGCGGUGGAGCAUGUGGUUUAAUUCGAAGCAACGCGAAGAACCUUACCAGGUCUUGACAUCCUUUGACCACCUAAGAGAUUAGGCUUUCCCUUCGGGGACAAAGUGACAGGUGGUGCAUGGCGUCGUCAGCUCGUGUCGUGAGAUGUUGGGUUAAGUCCCGCAACGAGCGCAACCCUUGUUGUCAGUUGCCAGCAUUAAGUUGGGCACUCUGGCGAGACUGCCGGUGACAAACCGGAGGAAGGUGGGGACGACGUCAAGUCAUCAUGCCCCUUAUGACCUGGGCUACACACGUGCUACAAUGGACGGUACAACGAGUCGCAAGACCGCGAGGUUUAGCUAAUCUCUUAAAGCCGUUCUCAGUUCGGAUUGUAGGCUGCAACUCGCCUACAUGAAGUCGGAAUCGCUAGUAAUCGCGAAUCAGCAUGUCGCGGUGAAUACGUUCCCGGGCCUUGUACACACCCCCCGUCACACCAUGAGAGUUUGUAACACCCAAAGCCGGUGGGGUAACCGCAAGGAGCCAGCCGUC
rnacentral:rRNA from 2 species